CCAUUUUCGUUUUGCAUUUGCGGAUUACAAGAAAACUUUUCUCCGACGGGAAGUCGAGAGGAGCGCUCUUAGCGAGAGCGGCACUUAAGCGCUUCAUCCGAAAUUGGCAUUUUUUUCCUUAUUCCUUGGUGAUUACAAAACCUUUUACGCUUUGUAGACUGCAGCCCUUUAGAUUCGGAUAUCGAGCCUUGAUUUCAGUGACAAGCUCCUCGUAAAUAUGUUUCUGUGCGAUAAGAAACCGGCGGACAAAAUCUUCUUCUAAGACAUUUUCUAACGCCGCCAUCUUAGUUUCCUAAAUAUUCCCCGCUUAAACAAAGAUUGUCAGUUUCACUGCCAUUGGCCAAAAACGAAAAACGACUUGUGAUCCGUUUUCCAAGUCCCAUACGAAAACGAAAAACGAAAAAACCAAGAAACCAAAAAGAAAAUUAAAAUCCGUUUUUUCAAAAGUUACAAAAAAGGAAAAACGGAGAGCAUAAAGUGAAUUCGGAUUCCGUUUCCUUCCCGGCGGGAAAAAAAUGAAAAACGAAAAUGGAAGUCCAAUUUCGUUUUUUUGCGGCAAAGAAAAACGAAAAUAAAAUUUGUGUUUCAUUUUCCUAACAAUUGAAAAUCGGUUGGCACUAAGGUACACGGAUUUUAUUGCCCCAAGCUUUUGGUUCAAGUCGUCAUCGAUAGAGUUUCUCUUUCAAAUUUCUGUUUGACUAACUCUCAGACUGUGCUUCCACCUGAGUCAACCUAGACUGACAGUAGAUUUUCAAAUGCAAAUUCCCUCAUUUUCAAGAGUAACCGAAAACCAAAUGAAAAGACACGCACGUCAACCUUCUAUCGCUCAACGUUCUUAAAUAAUACGUUGUGAUUGUCGGAUCGCAUUCUAUUUAUCCAGAUUGAUCUUUGCAUGUCUCUCUAUGAUGGUAAUCGAAUCAGCUGUAAUCACAAAGACAUCGAUAGUUUACAUCUCCUUGUAGAGAUCCGAGUCAAACCUGGUUAUUUUUUUGUCGACAUCAAGUGACUACUUUUCAGAUUGAUAUCCUGUGUGGUUUAAGAUUACACUAUGAAGCUGUUUGUGACUUUCACAGUUAUUGUAAUAUUCCUGGUUGCUGAUCACGUGGCACCCAAGCCUGAAGUUGCACAGGAACCCAAUGAUAAGUGCAUAUCUGGACAUGACUUAAGAUACUGUGCGACAAGGUGUAGGGGUGACUGCUCGGGCAGUCCCCACCCUGGCUGUGCUGAUGGUCAGUUGUGCUGUAGCUGCCCGAUGUGAAGUAAGUUAAAAUCCUCGGC